UACGUAGGGUGCGAGCGUUGUCCGGAUUUAUUGGGAUUAAAGGGUACGUAGGCGGCUUAUUAAGUCAGUGGUGAAAUACUCUAGCUCAACUAGAGGGGUGCCAUUGAUACUGAUGAGCUUGAGUACAGAUGAGGUAGGCGGAAUUGACGGUGUAGCGGUGAAAUGCUUAGAUAUCGUCAAGAACACCUAUAGCGAAGGCAGCUUACUAGGCUGUAACUGACGCUGAGGCACGAAAGUGUGGGGAUCAAACAGG
rnacentral:rRNA from 1 species